GUGCUUGCUUCAGCAGCACAUAUGGAACCAUACAGAGAUUAGCAUGGCUCCUGGACAAGGAUGACAUGCAAAUUCAUGAAGCGUUCUAUAUUUUU
ensembl:snRNA U6 U6 spliceosomal RNA